GUGGUGAUUUAUCAUUUUUAGUGUGAUUUUGUGCCAUCUUUUGGACAUCUUUGGUACAGCAUUCACUUAAAGCAGGAGAGCCACUUCUGGCUUGCAACCCCAAAUUUACUUCAGUCGUCAUAGAUGUACUACGGGAAAGGUCCUGUGAAUUUCAGCCUAGUUUUUCAUGUUAUGACUAAUGUGCAGUAUUUGAAAAUUGAAGUGAAACGGUUUGGCAGGAUAUUUACCAUGGAGUGUGGUUCUUGGGAGGAGGUCUGUGACAUGCUGGCUGCAUCCCCGUUGCCUCGCCUGCUGCUUUUGUGUCCUUCAGCCAGCCAGCACCCUGAGAUUCCCAACAGAGCGGCCACAGCCACAGCCCAAACACCCAGGCUGCCCAUGAGUGUCUACCUGAGUGGAAAAGGGAGGCCUCUAGUUGAGCUCUGAGACAAAUUCAGGUGAUCAGGCUGAGCUCUCCUUCCUGCUCUCUGUCCCAGCUCUGCGCUCCAGGUUUCCGUGACCAGAUCAGCAGCCCUUGGGUGUUAAAGCCCACAUCUUGCUUGUCAGAGUGUGGCUGAAAGACACACAAACAGCGAGUGACUUUUUAAAUCCAGAAAUCCCCUGCAGGCUGUAUGACAUGGCUCUAAGAGCAAAAAGGAUAUCAGGAGGAUCUGUAGUGCCAUGACAAGGUGGUCUGUCUGGCUAACAUGUCUGUGUUUGCUAAUUAUAGCACAGCAGCAAAGUGAUAGCGAACAACAUGAAAGAGUUCUGCAUUGGCAACAAAGAGAAAAACACCCUUUAAAACAUAAAUGGCUCUUAAGAGGCUCUAUGUGGAGAAAAAUGUGGUUAUAUAUAUAUAUAUAUAUAGUCAUUACUGACUGGAGAACCACUUGAACCCGUAAAUAGUCAUGUGUUGUUGUUUUAAGCCUUGUUCAUGGCUGUGGCAGCUGGGAAUCAAUCCAUGUAAAGAGGCAAAGGAUUCCUCUCUAAUGCCACGUUCUGAAAUAUCAAUAUGCCUCAAUACACCAUUGUCAAAUUCACU